GGAAGUGGCAUAAAGGCAACCAUGAGCUACUGGAGGACCUGGGACUUUCCGGCUCGAGACAAGACAAACUGGCAAGACAGCUCUCGAAUCCAGCUUUGUUCACCUCUGUUGCCAUUGUACAGAUGUCUGUUAGUGAAAGUAGAACUCUUAUUAGAGUAUUAAAAAAAAAAAAAAAACACACAAAAAAAUUCAAACAAAACAAAACAAGCAAACAAACAAAACCAAAAUCCCCAUUCCUUUCAUUAUUCAUAGACUUAUUGUUGGUUAUCAUUGAAUCAUUGUCAUUACUUGUAUAAGACAUAUGUAUUCUUAAUCAUGGAACUAACCUGCUCACAACAUCUACUCACAAGCCAGUUAGAGGGGUAAGAUCUGGAUGGGCCUCCCUUUCUUGACACCAAUGAUAGUAUGUUUGGAUGAAGAGUAGGGCAUGACAUGUCACCUUCUCCUAAUUUGGAUAACUAACACUAACAUAGGUGGAGGGGCCACAUUUCCUUAACCCGGAAAAGAAACAGAGAAAGAAAUGUAUAUGUUUCUUAAAUUGCCAAAUGCCUCGUCAUCUAAUUAGUGACGCGCAUGAAUGGAUGAAGGAGAUUCCCACUGUCCCUACCUACUAUCCAGUGAAACCACAGCCAAGGGAACGGGCUUGGCGGAAUCAGCGGGGAAAGAAGACCCUGUUGAGCUUGACUCUAGUCUGGCGCUGGGAAGAGACAUGAGAGGUGUAGAAUAAGUGGGAGGUCGGGCGUGCGGUGUGGGGUGGGGUGGGAGUGAGCCCUGAGGGAGGCUCUC
rnacentral:ncRNA from 1 species